CCAGGGUCAGGCCCUGGGUGGCGGUCUCCGGGACCGUCGUGAUGGCCUCGAUGUCGAACGCGGGGUUCUGCUGCCCGACCUUGGUC
rnacentral:tRNA from 2 species